rnacentral:rRNA from 1 species
UACGUAGGGUGCUAGCGUUGUUCGGAAUCAUUGGGCGUAAAGCGCGUGUAGGCUGUUAGUUAAGUCGGGUGUGAAAUCCCUGGGCUCAACCGAGGAAGUGCAUUCGAAACUAAUUAGCUAGAAGAUGGUAGAGGAAGGUGGAAUUCCAAGUGUAGAGGUGAAAUUCGUAGAUAUUUGGAGGAAUACCGAUGGCGAAGGCAGCCCCCUGGGAUAACACUGACGCUCAAGCACGAAAGCGUGGGGAGCAAACAGG